rnacentral:rRNA from 1 species
AGGACGAACGCUGGCGGCGUGCCUAACACAUGCAAGUCGAACGGGGUCAAAAAGCUUGCUUUUGACUUAGUGGCGGACGGGUGAGUAACGCGUGAGUAACCUGCCUCUGAGAGGGGAAUGACGUUCUGAAAAGAACGCUAAUACCGCAUAACGUAUCGAAGCCGCAUGACUUUGAUACCAAAGAUUUUAUCGCUCGGAGAUGGACUCGCGUCCGAUUAGUUAGUUGGUGAGGUAACGGCUCACCAAGACCGCGAUCGGUAGCCGGACUGAGAGGUUGAUCGGCCACAUUGGGACUGAGACACGGCCCAGACUCCUACGGGAGGCAGCAGUGGGGGAUAUUGCGCAAUGGGGGCAACCCUGACGCAGCAACGCCGCGUGAAGGAUGAAGGUUUUCGGAUUGUAAACUUCUUUUAUCAGGGACGAAGCUUGACGGUACCUGAUGAAUAAGCUCCGGCUAACUACGUGCCAGCCGCUGC